rnacentral:rRNA from 1 species
UACGAAGGGGGCAAGCGUUGUUCGGAUUUACUGGGCGUAAAGGGCGCGCAGGCGGCUCUUCAAGUCAGAUGUGAAAGCCCCGGGCUCAACCUGGGAACUGCAUUUGAGACUGAAGAACUCGAGUUCGGGAGAGGAUGGCGGAAUUCCCAGUGUAGAGGUGAAAUUCGUAGAUAUUGGGAAGAACACCGGUGGCGAAGGCGGCCAUCUGGACCGAGACUGACGCUGAGGCGCGAAAGCGUGGGGAGCAAACAGGAUUAGAUACCCUGGUAGUCCACGCCGUAAACGAUGUGUGCUAGACGUCGGGAAGCCUAGCUUUUCGGUGUCGCAGCUAACGCUUUAAGCACACCGCCUGGGGAGUACGGCCGCAAGGUUAAA